rnacentral:misc_RNA from 1 species
CAUUCAGUAGCCUCGCUACUUGUUUAUACCCUUGUUUUUUGCGUACUAUUGUUUCCUCGGCGGGCUUGCCUGCCGGUUGGACAAAACUAUAGCCUUUUUAAAUCUUCAAUCAGCGUCUGAAUUAUACAUAAUAAUUA